rnacentral:tRNA from 1 species
GCUGGCGUAACUCAGCUUGGAAGAGUAGCGCACUCGUAAUGCGCAAGUCGGGAGUUCGAUUCUCCCCUCCAGCA